rnacentral:rRNA from 1 species
AUUGAACGCUGGCGGCAGGCCUAACACAUGCAAGUCGCGCGGAGCGGCUGACGGGUGAGUAAUGCCUACUAAUCUGUCUGGUAGUGGGGGAUAACGUCCGGUACCGGGCGCUACUACCGCAUACUUUCAGUUGAGCCUAGGUCGGCUUAGCUAGUUUGUGGGGUAAAGGGCUACCAAGGCCACGAUCCGUAACUGGUCUGUGAGGAUGAUCAGUCACACUGGAAAUGAGACACGGGCGAGACGCCGACGGGAGGGAGUAGUGGUGAAUAUUGGAAAAUGGGCGAAAGACUGAUACAGCCAUGCCGCGUGUGUGAAGAAGGUCGUCGGAUUGUAAAGCACUUUAAGUUGGGAGGCGUUACCAACAGAAUAAGCACCGGCUAACUUCGUGCCAGCCGCCGCGGUAAGUC